UACGUAGGGGGCCAGCGUUUGUCCGGAAUCAUUGGGCGUAAAGCGCGCGUAGGCGGCCAGAUAAGUCCGGUGUGAAAGUCAAAGGCUCAACCUUUUGAAUGCCGCUGGAAACUGCCUGGCUUGAGUCCGGAAGGGGCGAGUGGGAAUUCCUGGUGUAGCGGGUGAAAUGCGCAGAUAUCAGGAGGAACAGCCGGUGGCGAAGGCGGGUCUCUGGGCCGAUACUGACGUGAGGAGCGAAAGCGUGGGGAGCAAACAGG
rnacentral:rRNA from 1 species